AUGAAAGUAAAAGCAGAAACCAAAAUUCACCAGUUUGGAUCAGAUCCGCCACGGAGGUCAUGGUGGCCUGUUGGUGUUCAUCAGAGGUCCAGAUCCGUCACAUUUUCGGUGGAUCUCGCGGCUGACGGUUUAUGUUGGAGCUGCUCAUCGGAUUCUUUGUACGGAAGAGCUUUUUGUGUUCUAUUUUAUUUGUCUCUGCAAAAAUAA